AUUUGGAACCAGAGGGAGGGCU
rnacentral:piRNA from 1 species